UAUUGGGUUAUCGGUAUCGAGUUAUUGGAUUAACGGUUCGGCAACGGUUUAUAAAAUUUUCACUAUUGGAUUAUCGGUUCGGGCCUCGGUUUGCCAAUUUAUUAAUGGGUUAACCGAUAACCCAAUAAGAAUUAAUAAAAUUAUGACUUUACCCUUAAGUAUAUACAUACGUCUAGGGCUUCAUUCUCUCAUAUUCCCUCUUAGCCGCACUCUUCGGUUCACUAUCUCAAAGUUUUCAUCUUCAGAGACCUUACUCCUAGCCAUAUACCUACUACCAGUUUCUCUUCGCACUUAUCAAUUCUCAAUCGACAAUCUUCAUCAGUUUCGGGAAGCCAAGAGUGAAGAAUAGAGGCGAUUUGAGCAAUAAUGAAGCUAAAAGGCAAUUUUUCAAGAAAAGAAAAAUUGGACCAGGCAGUGAAGUAACUUCAAAAAUUACAGGAAAAGCCCAGAAAAAUUUGAAAAACACAACCAGGCCCUGUGCGAAGCACAUCUAUAGCACAAGGGCAAAUUUGCCUGCGUUUUAUCUUGAGGGGCAACUUAGUCAAUUGGCUUAGGGACGUGAUAUAAAAGCUUUCAACCCUAAUUGAAGCCACACACUUGACCCGAGAAGGCAAGAAACACCAUUAUUGAAGCAAAGUUGAGCCCGAAAGAUCCUCAAGUUUAUUCAAGAAGACGAAUCGAAGAGUUUCUCUCUACUUUUCUAUCUUUAUUUCUAUGAAUAUUGGUUUGACAAUGGUUUAUGUAUUUUUGAGUAGUGUUAUAAGUAGCUAAACUCUAUUAUCUAAGGUGUGAUGGAACCUAUUGGAAGAUGAUUUUCUAUUGCGUUUAAUAUAGAUUUACCUUUGAUUUUUCUCUA